AGCUCUAAUAGCGUAUAUUAAAGUUGUUGCAGUUAAAAAGCUCGUAGUCGGAUGUCGGGCUCGGGCAGGCUGUCGGCUUCGGUCGGACGGCAGGCUCGGGUCUUUCUGCCUGAGGAUCCCGUGCACUUUAUUGUGGGCGGGGGACGCAGGCCGUUUACUUUGAAAAAAUUAGAGUGUUCAAAGCAGGCCUACGCUUGAAUACAUUAGCAUGGAAUAAUGGAAUAGGACUUUGGUGCUAUUUUGUUGGUUUAUGGGACCGAAGUAAUGAUUAACAGGGACAGUUGGGGCCGUUUAUAUUUCGUUGUCAGAGGUGAAAUUCUUGGAUUUACGAAAGAUAAACUUCUGCGAAAGCAUUCGGCAAGGAUGUUUUCAUUG
rnacentral:rRNA from 2 species